AUUGAACGCUGGCGGCAUGCCUUACACAUGCAAGUCGAACGGCAGCACGGGAGCAAUCCUGGUGGCGAGUGGCGAACGGGUGAGUAAUAUAUCGGAACGUGCCCAGUCGUGGGGGAUAACGUAGCGAAAGCUACGCUAAUACCGCAUACGAUCUAUGGAUGAAAGCGGGGGAUCGCAAGACCUCGCGCGAUUGGAGCGGCCGAUAUCAGAUUAGGUAGUUGGUGAGGUAAAGGCUCACCAAGGCGACGAUCUGUAGCGGGUCUGAGAGGAUGAUCCGCCACACUGGAACUGAGACACGGUCCAGACUCCUACGGGAGGCAGCAGUGGGGAAUUUUGGACAAUGGGCGCAAGCCUGAUCCAGCCAUGCCGCGUGAGUGAAGAAGGCCUCGG
rnacentral:rRNA from 1 species